UGUGGGGGGCGGGGAAGGCGGGCCAGCCCCCCACCCUUCCCUAAAAGCGUGGCAGCGGAGGUGACUUUGGGCGCGAUACGACGUCGAAUGAGCGGGGUCUCUUUUUAUUUCAGCGGGCGAGUGAUGUCGGGGACGGUUGGUGACGUCACUGGACCCCCCCCGCGGUGACGUCAGAGCGCCAGCUCCUGCGGUUUCGGAGCUGCACCAGCGUUGGGGGACCGCUGGAUGGCAGUAGAGAGAAUUUUUUUCCCUUUUUACGCCCUCUAGUGGUUUUGCAGCCUGGAUGUGGAAACUCCACUGUGGCAGUAUUAAGGAAGUGCCCAAGAUGUGGAAAUCUUUUCUGCCCAACCUACUUUGUCUCCUCCUCCAAUUGAAGCUUUGCCUCUCGCUGAGACAAUGCAAAUGGGCUGCGUCACUCAGUGAAACUAAGAAUGUCGAAGGAUACAUAACCAGCUACAUCCACCAGGAAGAAAUUCGCAGUGUGGUCGAGAGCUUUAAGGAUCUCAAAGAUUCACCUGUAGAUCCCAAUGACAGAGAUGCACGUUACUAUGGAUUUCCAUAUUUCCUGAAAAUAUAUCUACUUUGCCUCUAUCGGAAAGUACCGGUAGCUAACCGGGUGGGCCAUUACAGCGGACUGAAUCCAAUCGUGAGGGUCUCUUUCAGGGAACCCGUCAAUCCCGUGCGCCAGAAACAAGAACGUUUACAGAUCGAAAUGAAGGCUGCCCCAUACCGGAUGAAUGUUACAGAUUGUGAGAGCGAGGAAAUUUGCACGAUGGUCUGGUUUGCGCCUAUGCCCUUCUUGAAUGGCAGUGUUGUGAACCGCAUUACGGUGAGGACAAAUGGCUUUGGGCUCCCUAUGCUCAACAGGAGGAUGAACAUUAACAUAAAUGGAUUUAUGGAGCCAUCUGAGAAAGACGAAAAAUUCAGGAUUGGGGAGAAGUUGAAAAGCAUGAAACAUAUCUUUGGGCUGAAAGAUCCGUCACGCCCCUUGUGGGCCACUUACCGGCACGCGCCUGUGCUUAUCCUGGGAGGGAUCCCCGAGAAGAAGAUCAUCAUCCUCUCAAAUACAAACUUUGAGUCAUUUCACAUCAUAGAGGUGGCCAUUGACAGCUGCUGGAUUGGCUCCCUUUCCUGCCCGCAGGGAAAAUUCUCCUCCUCCAUUGUAGACACCAUCGCUACCGAAAGCACUCUCUUCAUCCGGCAAAACCAACUGGUCUAUUACUUUACAGGGCAUUAUCCACUUUUACACCUAGAAACCAAAGGAUCUGUUCUGUGGACACGGAUCUUGAACAAUGUCUGCGUGAAGAAGCUGGUUCCUGUCUUUUUCCCUUACAAUAACACCGAAUACGUGAUUGCCCUCGGUGGCGGUUCUCAGGAAGGAGAAUUCUUCCUUAUAAGUUGCAAAGAUGGUAUUGUGAAGGCGAGUGGCUCCCUAAAAGAAAGGAAGAGGACCUUAUGCUAUCGUAUCUUCCGUUCGAAUUGCAUAAUUUCAUGGGCCUUGUUGACAGAGGAAAACAUGUUCCAUUUCCUGGUGUUUCGCAAGUCCGGAAAUAGAACUUACGUUGUUUCAUACGACAGAGAGCAGGAGAAUUUUGAACUAAUCUACAGAGCCCCUACCCGUGUACCUAUGGCCUCCGAUAAAGGUUUUGUGAUGCUCCUGGGCACCGAGAAAUACACAGAUAAACCCCUGAUCGCACGAGGCCUGGCUUACAACCCCUUCAACAAAGCUUUUUAUAUUUGGGGGAACGUGAUCUUGCAAAGCCAAGAUAAGAUAAAUUACAUCUACCUUUCCAAUUUCCCGAGUGACUCUCCCAUCAAGGAUUUUGUCCUCUCUUUUAGUGGGUCUUUUGCCGUUAUGACAGACCGGGAGGAGCUCUGGGUGUCGAGUGACAACGGCAUCGCAUUUAAAAAGGCUUACCCUUCGGAUGCCUGGUAUAAGUUGAAUGCUCUCCAGAGGAUGAGAGGGUCCUCAAGAUAUGCCGUAUCGAGCAGACAUUCCAUCAUCAGCAUAUACUACGAUGAGACUGGCUUGCAAGAGCUGGUUUAUAUAGUAAAUAAGGAUGGCAAAGAAAAAUUCACGAAGAGGGAUUUUCCUGUAGAUACCGUCCUGACGUACGAUCUCUUGAUCAGCACGCCUCACAAAAAGAUGACGUUCAACGGGAAAGACUACAUCCGAUUCACCCAUCGCUGCCCCUUCGCUACGUUGCGUGUGGUGGAUCUGCCUCUCCCGCAGCGCUUCACCCGAGUGGAACAUUACUGGGCCACGCCCCCAGACAUCAUGGAUAAAUCCGGAUUCCAUUACCAGAAGUCGAUCAUCGUCUACCAGGGCCUGGUCUACCAGUUGCUUCAGCUGCAUUCAUCGUAUCACAGACCUUAUGCAGACCCCGUCCAUGACCCCACUUGGCGCUGGUGGAAGAACCAGAAAGAAGAGGCCGAAUAUUUUAACUACAUGGCAAGCAACUGGAAAUCAUUGGGAGGUAUCUUCGUGGACAUGACCAACUAUGCCAAAAUUUACAACUUGAUACCAGAAAACGAUCUGCCCAGAAAUCUCUAUCUGGACAAGAAUACAGCUUACACUUUUAACCUGUUCCUGACCAUCAGAACAGCCAGAGAGAGCCUGGGAGAAACGGCCGAGGAAAAUUCCCUCCACUACAUCUGGGUGUCUCUUACUCUGGCCCAUCCCGAGUAUGUCGAGGCAGAACUGCAGAGGCAGGAACUCAUCAGCCGAGGCUCAGUGUUCUAUCGGAUAACCAUUAGAGACAAUGGGAAUUACCCAAGGCAGCAACUCAGUGGGAAGAACCUUCUGAGAAGCUCAGCUGGCAUAAAGGUGGUCAAUUCGGAACUGUCCUGUUAUCACCAUAAAAACCUGUCUCCAGGGUUGAAGGGUACUGAUACAUUGAGGAUUCAUAUUGGAUGCCCCCCAGGCAAGAGAUUGGCGUUUGACAUCACUCAUACGAAGAAUUACACCACGGAGAAGAACAAGCGCUACUUUGACUGUGUUGAGCCAGAUCCAGAAAUGCCCUGUUUUUUCUUCAGCGAUGUGUUCUACCCAUUCUUCUUGAUCCAAGACAUGGUGACUGGAGACUCAGGACGAUUCCAUGGCAGCUACCUCUUUAGCAUCAUUGGCGGAGGUGCCUUUUCUAAGAGCAACAUCCGAUACUUCACUCAGGAAGAGAUCAUAAUGUACAACACUGUCAGUAAUUCGUCAGCUUUGAUAUGGGCGAGAGCCGACAUAGAAAUUGAUGAAACCAACGAGGAAGGAUUCCCGGUCCUCUCUGAAAGCAACUCUGGAAUUGUGUGGAUUUGUCAGAAAAAUUCUCCGUGUUACGAUAUCGUCCCCCAAAGUAUGGCCACUCCCAAUUAUUACUUUGUGAUAAAAGUCUCCAACAGGGGGGUCGACCAAACCACCUACUGCGACUAUGCCUUGGAGUUCAUCGUUCACAUCCACGGCCUGCGCCUCAGCCCCACCCGGGCCCUGCACAUAAUGAAGAUUUCAAUGGCUGUCGUCAUCGGACUGGUUGUCCUGUAUAUCUUCGUUGACGCAGUGGCCCCUCAGGUUAAAGAAUACUGGAAGAAGUUGGUAAAGAAAAUGGAGGAAACUAUGGCAUUUCGGGCAGAAUCCAGCCUCACCUUCUCCUCUUCCUUCACCAGUCAAGGAUCCCUUCAGCAACUGCCUUCCGACAUCAGUUCCGGGGACCCUGCCACUCUCCAAUUUACUCAGUCUCACUCCAAAAGAAUGCCACAACACCAUGGGGCACACUAGAGCUUUCCGUGGCUUGCCAGAUUCAUCAGACUGUGAGGUUUUCUGGUGCCUGGGUCUGUCAUCUUAUGUCUCUGGUAAUUGUCCGAGAAAGAGCGGCUCCUUUAUCAUCGUUUCUCAAGAUGGAGGGUUUCGGCAAUGGGGAGGAAACUUUUAAGCACCAGCUGUCUGAUUUUGGGAACAAGGUUGCGCUGCGAGGCUGCAGGUAUAUAUUUAUAUAUACCUUUUGUCCGUGAGCAAAUUAUUAUUUGGUUGCAAGUCUUGCAAAAGAUUCCAAAGUUGGAGACCCCUGAUCUAUGGCCAGUACCACACCUAUCAAGAUCAAUUGACACACCAAAAGUAGGCAACUAUCACAGCCAUGGAAACCCUCCUGAAAUGCAGCCGAAGUAUCUUUUUCAUUGAGGGUGGAGGGAUCAGUCAGGAACAGAUCUUGAGUUUAAUUUAAUUUAAUUUAUUUGAUUCGUUUGCCACCUGUCUCACGUCGAGGCGACUCCAGGCAGCUUACAAACAUGACUUGGCUUUGGUAUUUUAUUGCUAUUACACUACCGAUUUUCCACCUCUUCUGUUUUCUAAAAAUUGCACUUCUUUACCCCCCCGAUUCUCUCUCAGCUGCUGCAGUUCUGUGUCUCGAUGCUGGGAACUGUUACAGGGUUAAAUUAAACAAGGGGGUAACCAUUAAAAAAAAACCCCGCGGGCGAUGAGAGGAAAUAAAAAUCCUUACAGGCAGGGGUGGCAUGUUUCCGGUUUUUCUGUUCAUAGUUCCUGACUUGGUUUUGUUUUAAUAAAUAUUUGGGUGCAUGCAA